AGCUGACUGACUGGGAUAUAUAUGAAAUGCUCUCUGCUCCUGUAAACCAGCUGUUGGGGAGCUUGACUGAGAACCACAACUUUGAUGUAACCACACAUCUGAAAUAGAGGAGAUUUCACGAUGAUGCAUGAGAGAGGCAAUGAAUUGACAGUGUUUGACAAUGCCCAGGUUCGGAAUACGUGGGAGAGCAGAGUGAACCAGUACAAAGAGAAGGAGACAUGUGAAAAUGAGCGACGCCAGAAGAGUGCUCUGCCACAGCUUUUCAAUCAGUGGAAUCAACGCUGGGCAUGCAGAAAUGGGGGACCUGAGAAGAAAGGUAAAGGAUAUGAGAUCUCAGAAUUCAGGAAGACCCUGGAGCUUAAAUCUGAAGAAGUUGAACAACCCAAGCCUGUGGCUGUCCAACCCAGACCAAGACCAACACCUAUUGCAAGCACACCUCUGAUUCCUCCACUGCCCAAAAUCCCCCCACCAAAGAAACGUGAUCCAGAGGCACGUAAACCCCACAGUGCACCUAAGCCCCAGUUUCAGCCACCACCGAAACGAGAGGAAGUUAAGCUCAGAAAAGUCCAAAAAUCUGAAACAAUACCGAAAGAGACAGUGAAGACAAGUAGAGAGAAAGUAGUUCUGUCAAGUAUUAGUGACAAACCUAGUCAUGCGCCAACUCCUCCGCCUCCCAAGAAAGAAGUGCAGAAAGUACAACAUAUACCAUCUCUUAGAGAUUGGAAUCACUCUUGGAAAUAUGCCAGGCCACAGCCGCAUCAUAAGACGAAACCUGUUAAAACACAAAAAGACACACGGUUUAUGUCAAAUAGAAACAAGUCAAUUAAGUUCAAGGAGUCUGUAACAUAUUUCAAAACACCAUCCCUUUCAGAGUGGAUUGAGUCAUGGAAGUUCAUAAAGAACCCCAAAAGACAAGAAUGCAUGACAGAGGAAUUGAAGUUCAAGGGGUCCUUGUUCUUUGAGCUUGAGCAGAAAAAAAUAUCUCCAACAGAGUGGGCUAAGUCCUGGAAGGUCUUGAAUCUCCAGCUCCACCAAGAAAAUGAAUCUUGGGAAAAAAGUUGGUCCCAGUAUUGCCGAGAUUUCCAAAGUGACAAAUUACAGAAUUCACAGCUCUACAAUGAACCAGCAUCUCUAUUUGGUUGGGAGGAAUCCUGGAGGUUCUUAAAGCCUGAACCUAUGCAGGAGAAAGAAAAAAUUCCUGAUGAUAAGUCUAAUGAGUCAAUGGUUCUUCAGCCUAUGAAAAUGAAUAGACUGCUAAAUUGGACUGACUCUUGGAAACUCACAAAUGCUCAGUGCGAUGAUGAUAUUAUCUCUCUGACAGAGUGGAGUGAGUCUUGGAGGUCCUGUGCAGUACAAGACAAGCGCACAGAUUCCCUGGAUUUCUGUCACAGUGAUGUAAUAUGUAUGCCAAAGUAUAUCAAAUUAAGCGGGUUGCUCAAUUCUCAAAUUCUUGAAGAGAAUCCGUCUUUAUUGCAGUGGUCUGAGUCAUGGAUGUUCCCAAAGUCGCAGGAAAACAAAUGCGAGAAUGAAUCUGAGUUUAAUGAAGACAUUGCUAAUCCACUUUUGUCUCCCCAAUCCCCAAACAAAACCUCUUUCUCAGAGUGGAAAGAAUCCUGGAAAUUUUCAAAUGCUAAUAAUGAGAAGACCUCUCAAUCACCAUGGAUCAAUUCCUGGAAAUUAUCAAUCUCCAAGUCACACGAGGAGGUAAUGGUUUUGUCAGAAGGGGAUACAAACGUGUCAAACCAACUUGUACAUUUUCAGCCCUAUAAUAAUAAAUUUUCAAUGUUAGAGUGGGACAAAUCCUGUGAAAAUCUGUCUGAGCCUGAGUGGUGUGAGUCUUGGAAGACUAUAAAACCUCAACUACAGCAAGACACAGAGCCAGUAAGUAUGCCUAAGGAAUCUUCAUGCAUGCAAUUCAACUCAAAGAAAGUGUGUCUGUCAGACUGGAAAGAGUCAUGGAAGCUGUCAGCGUCCCAGGUACACCCUCAUGCACCAUCUUCUCAUACACCAUCUCAAUCAGAAUGGACAGACUCUUGGAGGCUAUUGAAUUCUAAACCACACAAGGAACAAGACUUCUGGCCAGAUAUAAGCACUUUCAAGGAGUCAUUGAAUGGACUUUUCCACAUGGAGAACCCAUCCAGCUCUGAGUGGAGUGAUUCCUGGAAGUUUCUGAAGUCUGGCCCCCCAGGUUCUCAGGCAAACAGUGAGAACAUACCGGAGUCAGAAUGGGGAGCAUCCUGGAAAUUUGUGAAUCCCCAGUGCAAUUUGGAAGGCGUGCCCUGGUCACAGCAAGAUGAGUGCAAUUUCCCAGAUAAUGUCCAGACCAAAAAUGAGUUAUCUAUUCUCUCAAGGGGGGACAGAUCCAGCACGUGCUUUGAUGAUGAGCUCCAACUCUGUCUGACUGAGUGGAAUGAGUCCUGGAAAUUCUUGAAGCCCCAAACUCAAGAGCAGCGAGAAGCUAAGUCAAAGUAGGGUCCAGAGUGAAUUUAGAAAUGGAAGAGGACAACCCUGGACAUCCUCAGUCAUGUAGUAAAAUGAUUUGAUUCACAGAAUGGCUAUUGGUAUAUAGUGCAUCAGCGUGACAAAGGAAUUGUAAGUUUUGAAACAGAUAUAAAAUUAUGCAACGAUUUUUGUUGGGAAUUGUUCAUUGUCAUUUUCCACUGUAAACAGAACUGCAUGCUAUUGAAACAUUUCACAUGACAAUAUAACAGUAAGACAGACAUGGAAUGUAUUUAGGUAAAUUAGUCAGGAUAAAGGAUUUACUUCAAUGCCUCGCUGAAUUGAUAAACUCACUAAACUCUCAUUUACUGCAAUUUUUUUCCCUUUUAAUUUUACUCUUCCACAAUCCAAGAAGUGUAUGUGGAAUUUCAGUCAAUAUUGAGGCUACACAGAUUACAUACUCCUUACCUGACUAUGAAGCUUUCACUUCACAAGAUAACUACCUUUUAUUUUAAUUUAACUUUGCUUUUUUACUAUUAUUUAUUUAUGCAAGAUCAGUUUGAAUCUGUCACUCUCUAAGCUGUGUAUCUACAGAAUGCAUGAAGCAAAAUAAAUAAAUUAAUUAAUUUAAAAGA